GCGUGGCCUCGAUCGAUCCACGGAUUGGAUAGCUACGGUUCGUAUGGCCGGGGAUUAGUUUGGUUUGGUUUUGUUUGGUGCACAGAUUAUUGCGCGCACGGAUGGCCUGGCUACAAAAGCUCAGUUAAGCGGCUGGAGUACGUUCAUCCCCAGGCUAGCUUGAUUUCCCUUGUUAUUGGUUACUACGUAGUGACAUUUUGAUUUCCAUUCGAGCUAGAGGUCUAAGUAAGAAAAGUUUGGAAUAAUACAGUGGAAAAAGUGUGGCCUGUCGUGGUUCUAAUUCCGAAUAUGAAUUUG
rnacentral:lncRNA from 1 species